rnacentral:rRNA from 1 species
ACCAUAGUAUUAAUAGUUAUGAUCUUUAAAUUAAAAGGAUUUGGCGGUAAUUUAGUCUUUUCAGAGGAACCUGUUCUGUAAUUGAUAAUCCACGUUGGAUUUAACUUUAGUUUUUGUUUGUAUAUCUCUGUCAUUGAAUGUUCUAUUAGGAUUAAUUUUCUUGAAUUAUUUAUUUAAUUAAUGUCAGGUCAAGGUGCAGCUAUAU